UGGCCAAACUAACUCCACUAAAAGUUCACUGCAGGAGACAGCAAUGAAACCACACAGAAGAGGAUUUGCUCCCCCAAACCCUAACCUUAAAAUCGAAACCCUCUGCAGUCUCCUUCACCCCUUCUGCAACUCUAUGUAUAAACCCUAAAAUAGAAAAUGAAAAAAAAUGUCACAUCUUCCGCCCGAUGUGAUCGCCGACAUAGUCUCAAUAUUAGCGGUGAAACCCCUUCUACGGUUCAGAUGCGUUUCGAAAUGGUGGUGUGCUCUAAUCGACAGCCCACCGCAGCCUCUUUCUAAAAGACUCAGGUGCCACCAUAGACUUUGACACGCUCGAGUUUGACAACCCCAUCAACUGGGACGACUACUUUGGAGCUGAAAUGAUUGGUUGUUGCAAUGGCUUGCUCGGUUUUCUUUAGCAUAGAUGAUCACAUUGUGCUGCUGAACCCUUCCACCCGAAAACGCCAGAUGUUACCCUUCACACCGGUUGAGGUACCUCGUGAACCACGUUGCCCUUGCCCGGACGACGGCCGUGUUGAACGCUGCUUUUGUCCGAAUACUGCUUACGACUUUGGCUAUGAUUCCGUCAAUGAUGACUACAAGGUAGUGAGGAUAACACAACUAUAUGACAAAGAUGAUAAUGAUUCAUUUGAUUCUAUAGUUAAGAUUUACAGUCUCAAAUCAAAUUCAUGGCGAAGAAUUCAAGAUUUCCCUUAUUACUUCUUGCACAAUGGGCCGGAUGCUGCUCUUGCUAGUGGGGCUUUUCAUUGGGUUGUGAGUCGAAAACCCUAUUCGGAUACGGUCAGGUUGAUUGCUGCUUUUGAUCUUGGGAUUGAGCAAUAUCGGUUGGUGCCACUGCCUGAAUUUUCAGAUGAGAAUUUCCGUAUGUAUGUGGAUGUGUUAGGAGGAUGUCUUUCUUUGCUGUGCAAUUAUGCCAGGGUCCGUGCUGAGGUAUGGGUGAUGAAGGAGUAUGGAGUUAAGGAGUCUUGGACUAAAUUAUUUUGUGUUGCUCAACCUACUAUUAUCAGGUCGUUUCGCUAUGUGAGAACUUUGGCUUAUUCAAAGACGGGUGAGAAAGUACUAAUGCAACGGGAUGAUCAAAAACUUCUUUGGUAUGACCUAGGAAAGAAAAGAAUUAAAAAACUGAAGAUUCGCAGCCGGCUUGUACCAGAUGAAGUUGAGAUUUAUUUUGAAAGCCUUGUUCCCCUUCGUGAAUCGUGAUGAUGGUGAGUGACAGAAGAGAAGGUGAAGAAGAAAAAUAUAAAGUAGAGAAGGGCUAUGAAGUAUUUUCUCUAUCACAUUGCAAGUCCUAAGGUCAGUAUCAGGCUCUCACGUACUAGCAGUACAUUUUACAAGAGGUUUUUAUUUUUUAUUUUUCUUAGAGAUAUUUUCCUAUCCAAGAGGUUCACACUGUUGACUGGUGCUAUAAGAAACUUGAAGAAGUAACAACGUAGGAGCAAGACGGAGAGGUAGGUUAAUAAAUUUUUGGCAGCAUCUUUUUAAAGUGGAGUUGAUUUAUUUCCUUUUUACUUGGUUUAUCGGCUAUCUUAUGUGGUCAGGAUUUUGUUGUUCUACAUGAGAUUUCUCCUGUUUUUACUAAUUUCCAUCUCCUCCAAACUAUAAAAACAGCAUGAUUUCUUUUGAAAUUUCUCAAAUCUCAUAAAAAGUGGUUAUAUGGAGAUUUUGGGAGAUGAGUUAGGCUUGUCAAUAAUCUCACUGAAAUCUUAGAAAAAAAAAAAGACUUUUAUCACUUAUGCGCCAUCCUCAUCCUGCUGAUUGAUGCAAAAGAUUUUUUUUUUUGCUUGGAAGGUGAUGCAAAAGUUUACUCUCAUUUAUUAUUAUUAUUUUUUUGGGUGGUAACACUCUCCACCCACUGCAGGGGUGGGACAAUUCCCUUAGGCCAAGUGGCAAAAGUUAUGUAAUUGAUUCAGUUGACCUAUCAUAUAACCUAUAUAAUCUCUGAUCUAAUUCAGCAACUCUCAGAUUUGGGAUUCAGAGUUUUUUAUUUUUUUAUUUUUUGCCAAAAGUCAUAAAAUACGCAAUUAUCGAUUGACAAUAUGUAAAUGCUACUAUAGAAGAAUGAGUUAUGCAUGCCUAAGGAAAACUAUAAUUCUGUGAUGAAACCUAGAAACAAGUGGUUUAAGUGUCCUGUGUCACCGUAAAGCAACAAUCUUUGUUCUAAUUACACAUAUGUUUGUCACCCUGGUGGUAGAAAGCUUAUUUGGGGAAAGGGGGAAAACCAUUGAUCUAGUUGAUGCAUGUUACAACACUACGGGAUUGUACAGGUGUACUUUUUUUAUAGUUCAUCUGUUACAAACUAAUCUGAAUAUAUUAGAGGGAAAUAUAGCGCUUAUUGAAUAUUUGAAGGAGCCAUCAUUUGCCAAUAGGAGCCCGUGCAGGGUUCAUAUGACACUUUCUACGAAAGAGCUGAAUGAUUCAAAUUUAACAUACGAAAACAUAUUCAAUUAACUACGUGAUUGUGUACCAUCAAGACCUGUGGCUUUGUGAUACAUAUUAACUCUUUUCAUAGUGGAAGGUGGAGAGUUCAAAUCUUCAGGAGUAAUUUGCUGAGGGAAAAAGAAAAAAUAUGUGAUUGAGUCAUUUAUUCUCAGUGUUUGCCUUGAGACAAUUUUUGUAUGAUGGUUCCUUCUUUUGGAACAUCAGGUAUGCAAUUAAUUCUGUUGUCAUCCCCAUUCUUAUUUUCUUAUUUAUGUAUUUAUUUUUUCAUUCUAUAUAUCGUAAUAAUGCCAUUGCAGUGAAGUCACAAUACCUAAGAUCACCAGCUAUUUAGUCUCUGAGCCACAUUCUAGCUUUUUCUAAUCUCACGAUUCGAGAUUUCGAAAUCUCAUAACUAGUGAAAAAGAAGAAAACCGUUCACUUUCAGACAGUUUCCUGCGCAUCAAGGGGCUUCACUUAUGAAGUCAAGAUAGGGAAGGGUAGUCUACAAUCAGGGAAUGCCUUUGUACAACAUGAAAGGGAUGAUCUUCUGGCAACGGAGUUUGAAGUAGUGCUUUAAGCAUCUGGAUGAAGAAAUAAAGUUGAAGCAAAUGCAGAGAUAUAUUGACAGAUUUUGGGCUGUAGUAUCUGAAUUCCGAUUAAAUGCAGAAAUACAGUUGAAUCUUUGUUUCCUUUCCUAUUAAAUCUUUGCAAUAUUAGUGGCAGUGUUUUGUUAGGUAGAUGCCAAUUGAAUGGCAGGCGCUCAGUCGAUGCCGUGCACCCCUGCUAUCUGUUCCAUUCUAACAUGUUUUUCUUAUCUAAUUCAUAAUGUAUAAUGAAUAGUUCAGCGUACUACAUAUUUUAGGUACCAAUACUAAAUUAUGAAUGAUGUCUUGUAAGCAAUACUUAAUUUGGUUUUUGAAAAGUUUUACAUACCAUUAAUUACGGCAUAUGUACUUGUAUUUUUCGGUGCUAA